GCGGGCGUAGUUCAACUGGAUAGAGCGUCAGACUUCGAAUCUGAAUGUUGGGAGUUCGAGUCUCUCCGCCCGCA
rnacentral:tRNA from 1 species